rnacentral:rRNA from 1 species
GAUGAACGCUGGCGGCGUGCCUAAUACAUGCAAGUCGAGCGAACGGACGAGAAGCUUGCUUCUCUGAUGUUAGCGGCGGACGGGUGAGUAACACGUGGAUAACCUACCUAUAAGACUGGGAUAACUUCGGGAAACCGGAGCUAAUACCGGAUGAUAUUUUGAACCGCAUGGUUCAAAAGUGAAAGACGGUCUUGCUGUCACUUAUAGAUGGAUCCGCGCUGCAUUAGCUAGUUGGUAAGGUAACGGCUUACCAAGGCAACGAUGCAUAGCCGACCUGAGAGGGGGAUCGGCCACACUGGAACUGAGACACGGUCCAGACUCCUACGGGAGGCAGCAGUAGGGAAUUUUCCGCAAGGGGCGAAAGCCUGAGGGAGCAACGCCGGGGGAGUGAUGAAGGUCUGCGGAUCGUAAAACUUUGUUUUGAGGGAAGAACAUAUGUGUAAGUAACUGUGCACAUCUUGACGGUACCUAAUCAGAAAGCCACGGCUAACUACGU